rnacentral:rRNA from 1 species
UGACUAUAUGUUUAACGGCCGCGGUAUUUUGACCGUGCGAAGGUAGCGUAAUCACUUGUCUUUUAAAUGGAGACCUGUAUGAAUGGCAUAACGAGGGCUUAACUGUCUCCUCUUUCCAGUCAAUGAAAUUGAUCUCCCCGUGCAGAAGCGGGGAUAAACACAUAAGACGAGAAGACCCUAUGGAGCUUUAGACACCAAGACAGAUCACGUCAAACACCCCUUAAUAAAGGCCUGAACUUAAUGAUCCCCUGUCCUAAUGUCUUCGGUUGGGGCGACCAUGGGGCAGCACAAAACCCCCAUGCGGAAUGGGAGAACAAACCCAGCAUUCUUUUUCCCACACUCCCAAAAGCAAGAGCUACAACUCUAGCUAACAGAACUUCUGACCUUUCAUGAUCCGGCUUUGGGCCGAUCAACAA